AACCUGCCUGGUAGCGGGGGAUAACUAUUGGAAACGAUAGCUAAUACCGCAUAAGAGUAGAUGUUGCAUGACAUUUGCUUAAAAGGUGCAAUUGCAUCACUACCAGAUGGACCUGCGUUGUAUUAGCUAGUUGGUGAGGUAACGGCUCACCAAGGCAACGAUACAUAGCCGACCUGAGAGGGUGAUCGGCCACACUGGGACUGAGACACGGCCCAG
rnacentral:rRNA from 1 species